ACCAUUUGAGUCGAGACUGAAAUUUCAAAAUUCAAAAAGUGCAAAGUCUAAAAUUGACCAAAUAAGAAUACAAUGAUUAAAUUUGCAACUUACACAUAAUAUAAAGAUUAACAACAAAAUUUGAUAAAAGAAUUUUAUGAGAGUGUUUUUGUAUUUUUUAUAUGAAAUGUACAAGAAUCAACAUAUGAUGUGACUUGAACUUUAGACAUCAUAACUAAAGCUGUCCAUGGGCCGAGGGCCCGCCCGAAAUAUGAGAGGGUUCGGGUAAAAAUAUAUGCCCGAAAUAUGGACUUGGGCAAAAAAUAAGGCCCGUUUAGAAAAUGGGCCGAGCCUCAGGUAAAAAAUUUUUGGCCCGAGCUCGGCUCGGCCCAGCCCGAAAAUAUAUUAAAUAUAUAUUUUUUUUAUUUUUAAAAUAUAAUAGUUAAUUUUAGUUUUAAUUUUAAGUUUUUAAUUUUUGGUUUUAUUUUUCACUUUCCCACGCCGACAGUCUGUCUUCAAAAUUCCAAAAUCCCUAACCCUGUGCCUUCUAAAAUCCCUAACCCCGUCUGUCUGUCUCCAUCGAUCCACCUUCAGUUCUCCAACAGAAUCGUAAUUAAGGUAAACCCGAAACUGUUUGUUUAUUCUUUAAAUGAUACCUGAAUGAAAGUAGUGUAGGAUCUUAUGAUAAUAUCAGAGAACUGAUCGGGUGUAUAGAUUCUGUUAAUCGUAGUAGUUCUGAAUAUAAUCACUCCUUCCUGCACUCAAAAGAUGUUUUUCUCAUUUUCUUCCUGCUUCCUGCUUCCUGCUUCCUAAAAUUAUAUAUAAUCACUAUUUCAACUGGAUUCUUCUCAAUUUCUUCAAUGGAAUCCAAACCCAAAUCUUCAAAAAUAAAUAACGAACGUGACAAAACAAGUAAGAACCUUGGAUCAGGUAGCUUAAUAACGAAAAGGGUGUCUGGAUUUAACGAAAUCCUUGAACUCUGCAACUGAUUGUAGUUAUGGGGUUUUGGUCAAGAGUCGAGACCGACCACCUUCCAUCUCCAUUUCAAAUGGUCGGAUCUGUAGCUAAAAGAGCUUAAUUUUCGCCUGGUUUGGCUAAAGGGUACCUUUUGAUUGCUGGGAAAAAGAUCCCUUACCCUUCGCACAAAUUUGUGGAAAACAAAUGAUAAAAACAGAGACAAAAGCUGAACACAGCUAAGAAAAAAAAUGCUUUAGAGGAUGAAGGGGGAGAGUGAUGAAAGAGUCGGUUCUUUUUUGGUCAGCUUUAAAAUAGGGGAGAGUUAAAAUUAUAAGCAAAGGAAGAGGGUAUGAAUAUGGGGUUUGAUGAGCUGUGGGUUGUGUACCGAUGUGUAAUUUUAAAAAUGGGCCGGGCUCGGGCUCUAUUUUUUUCCCGGGCCGGGCCUGGACAAAAUUUCAGGCCCAUAUUUCGGGCCGGGCAGGGCUCGGGCCUAGAAAGCGGGCUAAAAUUUUUUUGGGCCCGGCCCAUGGACAGCUCUAAUCAUAACCUCUAGAAUUUAAAUUUUACCAUUUCAAUUAAAAUUUUAUUUAUUCUUAAUUUACUUUUUAUUUUAUGUGGAAUUAUCUAAUUUUGAUAAAUCCCACGAAAGAUUAAUAAUUUCCUUCAAAUAAGUUAAUUAAACUAUGGUUGUAUAUCAGGCAGGUAUGUAUCCCCAUCAAAUGACCAAAUAUUUAUUAGGUACAAAAAUAAGCUUAAUAGUAACAUUUAAAAUUUUCUAAUAAAAAAACAUUUUGAAAAUUGUACUAGGAGCAUUUGUUAUGUCGGUCCAUCAUAUUUAUUUAAAAAAAAAUGGAAACCAAACAUAAUAAUAUCUCACAAUGCUCUUUGUCAAAGACAAAUCAAUUAGAAUAUUUUCUACCAAAAAGAAUCAAAUAGAAUAUCGUACGAAAAAUCGAAUAAAUAAUUGCGUUUAAUAAAACCAUAUUUUUUUCGAAUCAAUUAAAAAGAAGAAAAAAAAUCAAAAUAAUUAGAAAUUAAAACUCAGAGAAACAAAUAAAAAUUACGAAAAAGAAAUUAUUACAUUUUAAUUCGUUUUAAUCUUUGAUUUCUUUCAAUCCAAUUCUUACAUCAUUUUCCGACAAGGAACAUGUCUUACUCAAGAUUUACCAACUGGUAGGAUAAUUAACAUUAGACCUUAUUUGUCCACUAAUGUCUAAUAAAAGUUGCUGCAAUAACCUUACCUGUAUCACCGCCUUCCAAC
rnacentral:lncRNA from 1 species